AUUGUUAUUGCAGAGACAAUGCCGGUCAUUGAGAAGUCUGUAAAAGAAGUGUACACGGCUCUUCUCCCCCAAACUAUGGUUGUCGCCGAUCUCGGCUGUUCCUCAGGACCAAACGCGUUGAUCUUCGUCUCGAAUGUGAUCAACGCCAUAGCUGACCAUAGUAGUAAGCUCGGUGGCCAGGGUGAUCAUGUGGAGGUUCAGUUCUUCCUGAAUGACCUGCCAGGAAACGACUUCAACCAGCUCUUCCGGUCACUCGAACAGUUCAAGAGGUCAGCUGAAAUGGAUCGGAAUGGAGAUACACUACCUCCGUACUACAUUUCCGGGCUGCCAGACUCGUACUACGUCAGGCUUUUUCCUCGUCAAAGUGUUCAUCUCUUCCACUCCUCCUACUGCCUACAUUGGCGCUCUCAGGUGCCGGAGGGUCUUGAGGGCAAACGAGAAGUGUACCUAAAUGGAGAGAACAUGUACAUCGCCAAAAAUACCCCACCGUCGGUGGUGAAGCUAUUCCAAGAGCAGUUCAGGAAGGAUUUCUCUCUGUUCCUGAGGCUUCGCCACGAAGAACUUGCGUUUGGCGGGCAAGUGGUGCUAACAUUUCUUGGAAGGAAGGACGAGGAUGUGUAUAGCGGAGAUCUCAACCAUCUCUUUGGCUUGCUUUCGCAGUCUCUACAGUCUCUUGUCGUGGAGGGCCUUGUGAAGGAGGAGAAAGUAAGCUCCUUCAAUUUACCGGCCUACGGGCCGUCGGUCGGCGAAGUGACGGCAUCGGUGAAGGAAAGCGGCGCCUUCGACAUAGCUCACAUCAAGCUGUUCGAGCAGAACUGGGACCCCUACGACGACUCGGAAGGGGACGGCGUGCUCGACAGCGCCCGCAGCAGCGUCAACGCUGCCAAGUGCAUCAGAUCGGUUAUGGAGUCCCUAGUCGCGAGCCAUUUCGGAGAAGACAUACUCGACGCGCUGUUUGAGGAGUACACGUGUCGCGUCGCCGGGCACCUCGAGAAGGAGAAGACCAAGUUCACCGUCGUCGUCCUUGCCUUGAAGAAAAUAUAG
rnacentral:rRNA from 1 species